rnacentral:tRNA from 1 species
UUCUUCGUGGUGUAGUGGUUAGCACGCUCGACGCGUAAUCGAGAAUCCGUGGUUCGAUUCCCGGCAAAGGCG